GUUUAAAUUGGGUCAUUCUUUUUGAAAUAUGCUGUAGUUUACAGAACCCAGAGGUUCACUGGGAUAGUGUUUGCUGACCACUGGUUUAGUGCAUAUUGUUGGCGUCCAGCUUAGUAACAUCCUGUAGCCCACAAACUGAAGCGUUUGGGAGAGAUAUAGGUGAUAAAAAGAAUAUAAAGCGUGUUGCUGCAAAACUAAAGAAAUCUUUUGAUGGAGGCAGCAUUUUCCGAAUUAUUACAGACAGAAAUCAGGAUCAAUGUUUUUAAUAAAUAAAGAUUCCCUCUAAAAAUCC